GCUGUAGAAAGUUAUUACAAAAAGAAGGUUAAUUUUGGACAUGCAAUUCCCUUUUCUACCAGUAGGGGUAAAAAGAAAGGUUGUGAAAAAUGUCCACUGUCCCCCUCUAUUGAUUGACACUGGUUUCAUGUCUCUGUCUCACUGCUGUAGAAAGUUAUUACAAAUAGAAGGUUAAUUUUGGACAUGCAGUUCCCUAAUCAGCCACUUGGAGUAAAAUGAAAGGUUGUGAAAAAUGUCCACUCUCUCCCUCUAUUGAUUGACACUGGUUUCAUGUCUCUGUCUCCCUGCUGUAGAAAGUUAUUACAAAAAGAAGGUUAAUUUUGGACAUGCAAUUCCCUUUUUUACCAGUAGGGGGUAAAAACAAAGGUUGUGAAAAAUGUCCACUGUCCCCCUCUAUUGAUUGAAAGUGGUUUCAUGUCUCUGUCUCCCUGCUGUAGAAAGUUAUUACAAAAAGAAUGUCAAUUUUGGACAUGCAAUUCCCUUUUCUACCAGUAGGGGUAAAAAGAAAGGUUGUGAAAAAUGUCCACUCUCCCCCUCU